rnacentral:lncRNA from 1 species
UAUGUGUGUGUGUGUGUGUGUGUGUAUAAUACUUUUGUAACUGUAUUAUAUGGUCAAGAAGUUCAUGUAACCAUAUUUAAUAAUCUACAUUAGUGAUCAUUGUUUGCUAUUCAUUGUCGCUGUACAUUCACAAACUUUGUAUGACUUCACAUUAUUGCUAAAGAUAAUAGAUCACAAAAUGAUAAUUUAUAAUAAUAGCUUUGUGAUACAAAUUGUAGAUACCUUAAUACACAAUUGAUUAAGAAGACAAAAACAAAACCUGGACAAAACAUUAAUUCCUAAAUUCUGAGUUGAAUCAAUUAGUCAGACAUUUAAAAAAAAAUAAAAUAGAAUGGAAAUGAAUGCAACGUUCUUAUGAUUCAGCUGCCUUCCAGAAUAUUCUUAGAAUGAAACAAAGAAAAAGACAAAUGAAAGAAAUAAGCUA